UAUGCUACCAGGAUCUGUGUGACCAAUGACAUGUGGUAGAAAUGAUGGGAUGACUGAGUUAUAAAAGACUGCAGUUUCCAUCUCGGGUGCUUUCUUGUUCACUCUCUCUCUUGGAUUACUCUCUCUGGGGGAAGCCAGCUGUCAUGCUUUGAGGUCACUCAGACAGUCUAUGGAGAUGCCCACAUGGUGAGGAAUGGGGAUCUGCCCCUAACAGCCAGCCAGAAAUUGAAGCCUGCUAAUUAUCAGGAGCACUCACUCUGCAGAAGUCGUUAAGAGCCCAUGUGGUAGAAAAAUGAAGCCUCCUUCCAACAGCCAUGCAAGUGAGCUUUGAGGUAAAUCAUUCAGCUCCUAUCAAGUCUUUGGAUUGCCAUCCUGGCUGAGAACUUGACUGCAACUUCGUGAGCCAGAGCUGCCUAGCUAAACUACUCUUGAAUCUGUGAUCCUCAGAAACUGAGUGAGAAAAUGAGUAUUUGCUGGCUUAAGCUUUAAGUUUUGGAGUAAUUUGUUAUGAACAAUAGCCAACUGAUACAAUAUGUAUGUCUGUAUUAUUUUGUUGUUUUGUGAGUGUAAUUCACAUAAGAUAAAACACACAGAUCUGGAGUGUUGGGUUCUGUGA
rnacentral:lncRNA from 13 species